rnacentral:rRNA from 1 species
AUUGAACGCUGGCGGCAUGCCUUACACAUGCAAGUCGAACGGCAGCACGGGUGCUUGCACCUGGUGGCGAGUGGCGAACGGGUGAGUAAUACAUCGGAACAUGUCCUGUAGUGGGGGAUAGCCCGGCGAAAGCCGGAUUAAUACCGCAUACGAUCUACGGAUGACAGCGGGGGACCUUCGGGCCUCGCGCUAUAGGGUUGGCCGAUGGCUGAUUAGCUAGUUGGUGGGGUAAAGGCCUACCAAGGCGACGAUCAGUAGCUGGUCUGAGAGGACGACCAGCCACACUGGGACUGAGACACGGCCCAGACUCCUACGGGAGGCAGCAGUGGGGAAUUUUGGACAAUGGGCGAAAGCCUGAUCCAGCAAUGCCGCGUGUGUGAAGAAGGCCUUCGGGUUGUAAAGCACUUUUGUCGGGAAAGAAAUCCUUGGCCCUAAUACGGUCGGGGGAUGACGGUACCGGAAGAAUAAGCACCGGCUAACUACGUG